rnacentral:rRNA from 1 species
GAUGAACGCUGGCGGCGUGCUUAACACAUGCAAGUCGAACGGACUUGAUUGGAGCUUGCUCCGAUCAAGUUAGUGGCGGACGGGUGAGUAACGCGUGGGUAACCUGCCUCACACUGGGGGACAACAGUUGGAAACGACUGCUAAUACCGCAUAAUGUUAUUUGGGGGCAUCCUUGAAUAACCAAAGCUUUAUGCGCUGAAAGAUGGUCUCGCGUCUGAUUAGCUAGUUGGUGAGGUAACGGCUCACCAAGGCGACGAUCAGUAGCCGGUCUGAGAGGAUGAACGGCCACAUUGGGACUGAGAUACGGCCCAGACUCCUACGGGAGGCAGCAGUGGGGAAUAUUGGGCAAUGGGGGAAACCCUGAUGCAGCGACGCCGCGUGAGUGAAGAAGUAUUCGGUAUGUAAAGCUCUAUCAGCAGGGAAGAAAAAUGACGGUACCUGACUAAGAAGCACCGGCUAAAUACGUG